rnacentral:rRNA from 1 species
GUGGGGAAUAUUGGACAAUGGGCGAAAGCCUGAUCCAGCCAUGCCGCGUGUGUGAAGAAGGUCUUCGGAUUGUAAAGCACUUUAAGUUGGGAGGAAGGGCAGUAAGUUAAUACCUUGCUGUUUUGACGUUACCGACAGAAUAAGCACCGGCUAACUUCGUGCCAGCAGCCGCGGUAAUACGAAGGGUGCAAGCGUUAAUCGGAAUUACUGGGCGUAAAGCGCGCGUAGGUGGUUUUGUAAGUUGGAGGUGAAAUCCCCGGGCUCAACCUGGGAACUGCCUCCAAAACUGCAUGACUAGAGUACGGUAGAGGGUAGUGGAAUUUCCUGUGUAGCGGUGAAAUGCGUAGAUAUAGGAAUGAACACCAGUGGCGAAGGCGACUACCUGGACUGAUACUGACACUGAGGUGCGAAAGCGUGGGGAGCAAACAGGAUUAGAAACCCCGGUAGUCC